CAGAGAAGAGGAAGCAGAGAAGAGCACUGAGGACUAGAAUAACCUCUCAGAAACGACCAAAGGACGUAAGGGCUCGCAAGAAAAAGGGGCAGAGGGAGCGGUCGGCCAAUGUCGCACAGCCAGGAGUUCAGCUGCGUUAGAAGAUAUGAAUGGAGGAUAGUCUGGAUCCUCAGGAUACCAAAAGAAGAAACUGCUACAUCCUAGCAGCAGUACCAUCAUAU